rnacentral:rRNA from 1 species
UACGUAGGGCGCGAGCGUUGUCCGGAUUUAUUGGGCGUAAAGAGCGUGUAGGCGGCCUGAAAGGUCAGCUGUGAAAACUCGAGGCUCAACCUCGAGACGUCGGUUGAAACCAUCUGGCUAGAGUCCGGAAGAGGAGUGUGGAAUUCCCGGUGUAGCGGUGAAAUGCGCAGAUAUCGGGAAGAACACCCGUGGCGAAGGCGGCACUCUGGGACGGUACUGACGCUGAGACGCGAAAGCGUGGGGAGCGAACAGG